AUUGAACGCUGGCGGCAGGCCUAACACAUGCAAGUCGAACGGUAACAGGAAGCAGCUUGCUGCUUUGCUGACGAGUGGCGGACGGGUGAGUAAUGUCUGGGAAACUGCCUGAUGGAGGGGGAUAACUACUGGAAACGGUAGCUAAUACCGCAUAACGUCGCAAGACCAAAGAGGGGGACCUUCGGGCCUCUUGCCAUCGGAUGUGCCCAGAUGGGAUUAGCUAGUAGGUGGGGUAACGGCUCACCUAGGCGACGAUCACUAGCUGGUCUGAGAGGAUGACCAGCCACACUGGAACUGAGACACGGUCCAGACUCCUACGGGAGGCAGCAGUGGGGAAUAUUGCACAAUGGGCGCAAGCCUGAUGCAGCCAUGCCGCGUGUAUGAAGAAGGCCUUCGGGUUGUAAAGUACUUUCAGCGGGGAGGAAGGGAGUAAAGUUAAUACCUUUGCUCAUUGACGUUACCCGCAGAAGAAGCACCGGCUAACUCCGUG
rnacentral:rRNA from 1 species